rnacentral:rRNA from 1 species
GACGAACGCUGGCGGCGUGCUUAACACAUGCAAGUCGAACGGAAAGGCCCUGCUUUUGUGGGGUGCUCGAGUGGCGAACGGGUGAGUAACACGUGAGUAACCUGCCCUUGACUUUGGGAUAACUUCAGGAAACUGGGGCUAAUACCGGAUAGGAGCUCCUGCUGCAUGGUGGGGGUUGGAAAGUUUCGGCGGUUGGGGAUGGACUCGCGGCUUAUCAGCUUGUUCGUGGGGUAGUGGCUUACCAAGGCUUUGACGGGUAGCCGGCCUGAGAGGGUGACCGGCCACAUUGGGACUGAGAUACGGCCCAGACUCCUACGGGAGGUAGCAGUGGGGAAUAUUGCACAAUGGGCGGAAGCCUGAUGCAGCAACGCCGCGUGCGGGAUGACGGCCUUCGGGUUGUAAACCGCUUUCGCCUGUGACGAAGCGUGAGUGACGGUAAUGGGUAAAGAAGCACCGGCUAACUACGUG